rnacentral:rRNA from 1 species
UACGGAGGAUGCAAGCGUUAUCCGGAAUGAUUGGGCGUAAAGCGUCCGCAGGUGGCUGUGUAAGUCUGCUGUCAAAGAGCGAAGCUCAACUUCGUAAAGGCAGUGGAAACUACACGGCUAGAGUGCGUUCGGGGCAGAGGGAGUUCCUGGUGUAGCGGUGAAAUGCGUAGAGAUCAGGAAGAACACCGGUGGCGAAGGCGCUCUGCUAGGCCGCAACUGACACUGAGGGACGAAAGCUAGGGGAGCGAAUGGG